UACGUAGGCAGCGAGCGUUGUUCGGAGUUACUGGGCGUAAAGAGUGCGUAGGCGGUUUUCUAAGUUUGGUGUGAAAUCUCUCGGCUUAACUGGGAGGGUGCGCCGAAAACUGGAAGGCUUGAGUGUGGGAGAGGUAAGCGGAAUUCCUGGUGUAGCGGUGAAAUGCGUAGAUAUCAGGAGGAACACCUGUGGUGUAGACAGCUUACUGGACCAUGACUGACGCUGAGGCACGAAAGCGUGGGGAGCAAACAGG
rnacentral:rRNA from 1 species